rnacentral:lncRNA from 1 species
GCAUGACACAGCAGAACCGCAGCUGCUGCAGCAAUUUCAAGCCAUCCGCCCAGGAAGCGCCGCAACCGGGACUCGGGAGGGGUGGAGGGGGCGAGGCAGAGGCCGCGGCCCCAGGGGAUCCUUGGCCCCACUGUGCACCACACACUCCUUUCCCAGCCCAGGGGCACGCGAACAAAAUGAGGCUCAAGCUGACCAGGCCGAGCCGGAGGAACGCUGGGGCUUGGCAGCAGAAGGGAUGGGACCAGAGAGAAGGGUGUGGAGGAGACCCCAGUGAGGGCCAGGACAUUUCAGGUAAAGAGAGGUCAUAUCUCCGUACCUCACUUCCUGACACAAACAAGUUUUCACUGUUGUCAGCAACAAAGCCCUAAUAUAGCUGCGGAAGAGAAAAACUGCAUUGCAUUUUGCCUCCUGCAAGCAUCAUCAACAGUUACUGGAGGAACGUAAUUCCAGAAAGCUUGAAAGCCGUGGUGAUGGUAAUUAUGUAUCAAAUGCCUGGUUCUAUUUCUGUUAUUAUUGUUUUGUCAUUUCUGUUUUCCCAGCGAUCUGACUGAACUCGCAGAGGGACAAAUCCAGUUUUUCUUUUUGACUUUUGUCAAACUAAAUCAGGCCUGAUAGAAAACUCAUUGCUCUCCGGGGAAACAAAGUAGGAGCCACGAAAUGUCAUUUUAACAGAGCGUGGGUUUGGUGACUGUAGGAAAGGAUUUGAGGACGCUCCUUCUGUUCGGCUUCCUAUGUCAUGAGCACAGGCUCCACGCACGCACAGACACCACGGCUCCCGGAUGCUGUGGCUCCCCGAUCGGGGCUCCUGCAGCGCCAGAAGCCCCUCCGGGAUGCUUCGAGGGGCUCCCGGUGGGUGGAGGUACGGACGCCGCUGCGGCCGCCGCCGCCAGUCCUGCUGCUGUUGUUGCUGCUGCAGUCACGUGGGAGCCCCUUUAAGUUUCCAUAGAGAGGCCUCUCUGGUGUCACAUGAUGGACAUGAUAUAAUGAAACAACAUUGUGGAGAGGAAAGCAUUAGGGGAGCCCACGGCUACAAAAACAAGUGAGUGAGAAGAGGUGGGAGGAAGAGAAACUACGCCACCUCCCCUGCAGCCGAGUGCACGCAGCAGCCUGGCGUGACAAGUGGGCGACGCCGGGGGGCAGGGAGCCGGGGUCCUUGGCCCUGGCCGGGGACCCCACCGCCCACCGCGCGGAGGACAACUUUUAGCCGGCAGCCCAGACCAGCGCGGCACCUGUCUCCGGAGUCUCCACCGCUCCUCCCGAUUCAUCCCAGGGAAAUUCUCAAGAAUACGCUCUACAAAUCUACGUGCGCAUCAUUUUCACCUCGCGUCGCGCCCGGGAGGAAGGAACGAGGCAAGGAGCUAAAGCAGCGUGCGUUCAGCCCUGGGGCAUUUUAUUAAUGCUUUUACGAGUUAGAAGAGUUGGGAUAAUUUGCCAUCUGGAGUUUCUCUGCCUUGCUGAUCUGAGCUCAGACCUGCCAAUUUACCAGAGAUAAUUGAUAACACCCUGUAACAGCUGAGAGGAAAAUGGAAGAAACGGAGAUACUUUUAGUGAAGCAGAAUAAACCACUGAACAGGAAAAAUGAGGAAGCUGUGAGUACCAGUGGAAGGAACGAGCCAGGAAGAGGGACUGGAACCAUCUCAGAAGCCAUGCCCCUCAGGCUGGAACUUGCCCUGUCUCCUCGCAGAUGAGGUGCAGGUCUUCUGAACAAAUGCCUCCUGAGGAUUUCUGUGCCUGGAAAAUAUCUGUUAACAGACUGCUUUUACACCUACGUAAGUAGAGGCUUCUGCUUAUAAGUCAACCUCAAGGGAGUUUUAUUUUGUCCCUGGAUGAUUCCUCAGUACAUUUUUCUUUUUCUUUUUUGAGGUAGGGUUUUGCUCUGUUGCCCAGGCUGGAGUACAGUGGUGUGAUCACAACUCACUGCGGCCUCAACCUCCCAGGCUCAAGCGAUCCUCCCACCUCAGCCUCCCAAGUAGCUGGGACCACAGGCGUGUACCACCCACGCCUGGCUAGUUUUUUAAAAUUUCUUUUGUAGAGGCAGAGUCUCCCUGUGUUGCCCUGGUUUCAAACUUGGGCCAAGUGAUUCUCUGCCCCAGCCUCUCAAAGUGCUGGGAUUACAGGUGUGAGCCACCGUGCCUGACAAGCCUGAUAUGUUUUUUUAAAUGAUCAUUAGUAUUUGAUCUCUACUCUUUUUCUCUCAACCACCCAACUCCCGGUUUACGGUCAGGAAGAAUCUAUAACAUGAACUCCUGCUUAAAAACAAGGGUAUAGAUCCCAUAUUCAGGUCUUAGACUGGGAAGAAGAGAAGGCAGUCAAAAAUAUUAAAUAUAUGAAUUUCAGUAAAUUCAGUUGGGGAUGCCAUUUCAGCUUUGCAGUCAGUUACUCCAGAAUAUGUCAAUGUAUGGCAAAGCAUGUGACAGCAGGAUCUCUGCACCCUCUCCAUUUACCAGCUGUGGUGGAUCUCUUAGCCACAUCUCUGUUUAUAAUGUGCUUAUUGAAAACUAAUGUAUUACUUUUAUUAUCAUAGCUACCAUUUACUGAAUAUUUACAUUGUGCUAACACUGGUUCAGAUGGCUUCAUCAUAUUUACCUGAUUUAAUCCUCACAACAACCUUAUGUGCUAGGUCCAGUUAUUACCAUCUUUUUUUUUUUUUGAGACGGAGUCUCACUCUGUCGCCAGGCUGGAGUGCAGUGGCGCGAUUUCGUCUCACUGCUGCAACCUCCGCCUCCCAGGUUCAAGUGAUUCUCCUGCCUCAGCCUCCCAGGUAGCUGGGACUACAGGCACAUGCCACCACGCCCAGCUAAUUUUUGUAUUUUUAUAGAGACGAGACUUCACCAUGUUGGCCAGGAUGAUCUCAAUCUCUUGACCUCGUGAUCCGCCCAUCACAGCCUCCAAAAGUGCUGGGAUUACAGGCGUGAGCCACCGCACCCGGCCUAUUACCCUCAUUUUACAGAUGAGGAGACUGAGGCACAGAGAGUUAAAGUGAUUUGUGCAGGGUUGUGUGAGGAGCUGGUGGCAGAGCUUGGCAUUCUGGCUCUGGAGUCUGCAUUUGGCCAUCUCACCGUACAGUGUCAUAGAAACAGGAAACUCGAGAAGAUAAACUGCCAGGCUGUAUUUUGGAGUCAGUAUUUUAACACUGUCACCAUCUCAAGCAUGAUCUGUGGGACUCAUCACUGUGCUCUUUGACUUGAACUUCUUUAAGGUUAGUGGGAAAAUGAAGCUUUAGAGAAGAUGGGACUGGCCUAAGGUCACACUGCAUGUCAGAAGUGUGGUGGAGGGUCCAGGUCUUCUGACCAUUCAGUGCAAGCCAAAUUGUGCUAAUUUCCAAUUUUUCUCCCUUUCUCUUGGUGAGCUAUUUGGUGCUACUUCUACUCCUCAUGACCAAAGCUGGCUUUCAUGGUUUACUCAUGUACUUACUGAUGAAACCCUGAGACUUGGGGCCAGUGACUGUUCAGAGGUCCAUGUGAAGAUGCGCUGAAUGGUAUAAAGGACAGAGCAGUAAAGAGUGCUGGCUGAAUGCCUGGGCUGGCAAUCAGGCAUGUUGGAGUUUGAGUCCCAGUCUGCCACUCCAGCUCUGUGACCAAGAGGAAGUGAAGUCAUGUACCCUUUCUAAGUCUCUAGCCCCUCUUCUGAAAGACGAAGAUGCCACCACCAACCAUGUUAGUGGUUGUGAAUGCCAAGAAAGUCCAUGUGAAGCACAUAGCAUAGUGUCUGCCAUGCGUUAAGUGUUCCAAAAAUGGAAGCUAUGACUAUUUCACAGAGUACACUUCCCAUCACUUUUCAGUUCAUUUUGGCCUUCUCCCUCAAAAGCACUCCAGUGUUCUGAUCCAGCUGAUAAAACACCAAACAUUCACAUAGUGCUUUAAAAGUGACCCACUGUUUUUACAGACUGCAUUACAUAUGACCCUAACAACCACUGCAAUAUAGAAAUUCGCAUCUCCAUUCUCCAGAUCAGGAUACCGAAGCUCAGAAAAAUUAAAUGAUUUGCCCAGGAUCACAUAGUUAGUAAGCAGCCCAGCCAGAUCCUGUGUUAACUUGUUCAUCCGCUUCCUAUAAGAAAACAUCCAUUCAAGGCACAUGGGGCAACAAAGAAGGACUUAGAGCUGUGUGGCCCCUCGUCAGGGCAGUACCAGUUGCACCCAUAGUCCGGCCUGAAUACUCAGCUUAGGACUAUUGUGUCCAAUGUCCCAAACAUUUUGAAGCUACAUCUUAAAGAAGUGUCCUGCUCAGAUGCAGUUCUCCUUGUGAAAUCCGCAGGCCCCAAGGAAAGUGACUUUAAUCCAGUUUGCUCAUGCAAGAACAGACUGGCAUUUCACAUCCAGGAAAACAAUGGAUUUGUACUGUUCAGCUUUUGCCAUGCAAGGAGUUCCUGGUGUGGUUUAUUAAUUUACAUCUCAGGCUCCAGCUUCACUAUCAAUCAGAUUUGGAAGAAAAAAGUUACAAAGAAAGGCAGCUUGCUGAGAAACAGCGGAAGCAUGACGGUACAGACUGGGUUUUGAAAUGGAGACACAUUCUCAUGGCUUGUGGGCUGAGAGACACUGAGAAAGGAUUUUGUUCUUGAAAGAUGAUUGUUUUAAUGCUGGAGAUGGAGAGUUUUGACAAUUUUAAGUGCAUGUUCUGUGUGUAAGAAAGAGUCAUUACGUUUUUUUUUUCUUUCAGAUGUUGCCAUGCCUUAAAAUUGCUGAUGAUUAAAAUAGAACAUCCUGAGUUACAGAAAUUCAGCCCUAGUGUAUCCUGGCCUAAAAAUACAGAACAAUCAAGUUGAUUGUUGGAAAUGAGAGGCUAGGCAGGGUUGGAAACAUGCUAAUGUUUACUGAGUGAAAUCUUUCCUUCUCAGUAGAGUUGCCCUUGCAGCUGAAAGUCACUGAAAGACUCAACAAAAUAAGCAGAUCCCACUUGUCUCACUCUGUUCUCCUAUGCAUGCCCUGGAAAGAGAAUGAAUGAGCCCUUUUUAAUUUAUCAACUGGUUUUCUUCCAUCUCUUUACUAGUGAGCCAUGGGGGUUUUUUGCCGUUAACUGGGUAGCCAGUCUCUUCAUGGAGACUUAUUUUCAGGAAACUAGCCUCUUGCUUUAUGUGAAAACAAGGACCCAACUCAAGAUGUCUUAUCACAGUGUGUUCUGUUGCGUAACAGUUGCAUCUGUAGUCCAGCCUCAAUACUCAGGUUGGGACUGUUUUGUCCUGAUGUCUCGAACAUUUCAAAGCUACGUUCUUAAAGAAAUGUCCUGCUCAGAUAGAGCUCUCCUUGUGAAAUCCUCAAACCCCAGGGGAAGUGACCUUAAGCCAGUUUGCUGGCUUUUCAUGUCACAGAAAACAAUCGACUGCCACUACUCAGCUGUUGCCACACAGGAGUACCUGGCGUGGUCACUACUUGCCAACUCAGUACCCCACUUUCUCCCCAAGGACAUAAAAGCAAUGUGGGAAGAUAUACCAAAUGACCUUGUCACACUGGGCUAAUAUGAAGAGCCCACAGAUGCAAAAUAAUGUAUCAUACCUUUAUUCUUCUGAUUUUUUUUUUUUUUUUUUUUUUCGGAGACAGUCUCACUCUUUUGCCCAGGCUGGAAUCCAGUGGCGCGAUCUUGGCUCACUGCAACCUCUGCCACCCGGGUUCAGGCAAUUCUCCUGCCUCAGCCUCCCGCCCAGCUAAUUUUUGUAUUAUUAAUUAGUAGAGAGAGGGUUUCACCUUCUUGGCCAGGCUAGUCUUGAACUCCUGACCUCGUGAUACACCUGCCUUGGCCUCCCAAAGUGCUGGGAUUACAGGCGUGAGCCACCGUGCCUGGCCUUUUUUUUUUUUUUUUUUUUUUUUUUUUGAGAUGGAGUCUGGCUGUAUUGCCCAGGCUGGAGUGCAGUGGCAUGAUCUUGGCUCACUGCAACCUCUGCCUCCCAGGUUCAAGUGAUUCUCCUGCCUCAGCCUCCUGAGUAGCUGGGAUUGCAGGCAUCCCAUACCCGGCUAAUUUUUUUGAAACAGAGGCUUGCUCUGUCACCCAGGCUGGAGUGCAAUGGCACGAUCUCAGCUCAGUGCAACCUCCGCCUACUGGGCUCAAGCAACUCUCCUGCCUCGGCCUCAGCCUCACUACAGGCAUGUGCCACCACGCCUGGCUAGUUUGGUUUUUUUUUUUUGUAUUUUUUUAGUAGAUAUGGGGUUUCACCAUGUUGGCCAGGUUGGUCUCAAACUUCUGACCUCAAGUGAUCUGCCUGCCUCAGCCUCCCAAAAUGCUGGGAUUACAGGUAUGAGCCACCACGCUUAGCCUUCUGCUGAAUUUUUGAGAAGCAUACAUAAAGACAAUGUAAAAAACUUAGCAUAUUUGUUUGGCCCUGCUAAGGGCAUGGUUGAAUAUAUAGUGUGUGUGAUGUAUUUGGUGUAUGAGAUAUAUAUGAUCUUAUCAGACAUAAGUAAAAGAAAUUCAUUCUUCAGGAAAAAUUUUCCCCAUAACUGAAGUGUCAAUCAUUUGAAAAAACUUCUAGGCAGUAGGCAAACACUGUGACUAGUUAUUUAUCAAAAAUAAGCAGACUUUAGAGUUUUGUAACUGAUGAGAAUAAUCUGGCUGCUUCUUUUGUACUUCAGUCACUGAUACUGCGAAUUAGAGUAGCAUAUACAGAAGGAUGCAGGGGGUCCCUAAAGGAAUCACAGAAUUAGUGAAACCAUUAUUUGAGAGUUGCAGUGAUUCUUCUGUCCUGGCACUUUUCCCAGUUUUGGUGCUUAAAUUUACUAUCCACUUGAAAUGUGUCACUGCCUGUCACUUCACAAAGUAUGUGCCUUUCACUGCAGUCAACAAGCUGUUUACAUCUUUGAUGAAAUGAUUGCCACGCAUCUCCAUAGCCCUGGUGUUCUAUUCCCUUAUUCACAGAGAUUUUUUUUAAAAACCAGCCUAGCAGCAAUAGGUAUGUGCUGUGGAUGCUUCUCCAUGAUGAUAAAGGAUGAGUUUGUGCUGGGAUCUCCUUAUGAAAAGAUAACUGGCCAAGCCCAUGAGGAACAAGAAUGUUAUGCUAAUCAGACCCAAGGUAAACAGCCUGCAGUGCACCUCCUGACUGAUUAGCACUGAACCCACUUGGAAUCAUCAACCACAGGCACGUGGUAAUUGGAUGUUCUUCUAAUACACAUAGUGAGAUUGUAAAAUGAGGAUGAUAUAUGAGGAAAGUCAGACGGAGAAACUAAAGUUCAGUUCUUAAAUACAAGCCAAGGGAACAGACUAAGUGAAUGGUACAGCCAGGAUUGGAGCCUGGUUUUCACAAGGUGGUAUGUCAUGAUAAAACAAGCCAAAGAAAAGGUUGGGUAGUGUUUUGAGGCUAAAAGAGACCAAAGAGUCUUAGUGAAUCAACCUUGAUGCGAUCUGGGUUUGAAAAACCUAUAAAAAACCUUUUGUUUGGAGAAAGUGGGAGAAGUUGGAUGUAGGCUGGAUAUUUGUGGGUACCAAGGAAUUGUUUGUUUUCUUAGGUAUGGUAAGAUUUUGUGGUUAUGUAGAAGAGUGUCUUCAUUUUAUAGAACGACCUCAAAGUAGUUAGGAGCAGUGUAUGUAUGGGUGGUUAUCAAUUUACUUUCAAACAAUGCAGCAAAAAAUAUGUAUCUAUAUUACAUAUAAUUAAAGCAAAACAUGAUAAAAAGGAAUAGUUAUUGAAUUUAGAUAGUAUGGAUUUAGGAAUUCAUUGUAUUGUCAUUCCAAUUUAAUGUAUAAAAUUUUUUAUAACAGUUUAUAAAAACAGUGCACACCCCUUUAAUUAGGUGGCCUGGGUACAUGAAGUAUCUUUUUGGAUGCCUAGAACACAAAAAGGGACGACAACAGGCCACCUAAUAAGAUGAUACCAAGAACUAUACCAUGACGGCGAAAAAGAACUGCUGCAAAAAAUAAUUUGCCAAGGAGAACUCAGAGUACAAAGCCUUACCUUUGGAGUAGAGGGAAGGAGAGUCUUAAGUAAAGCUCACAAAAACCCCUAACUCAUAGAUGCAGUCUAAGGAAUUCAUUCCGGAAGCGACAUUAGCAUCUCAUUAGUGCCAUUAUGUGACUUACUUGGCCUCUGAGCUAGUCUAUUUUCUUCCCUAGACCCCAAAAUCUCAGUAAUCCUUUGGAUCCAAGUUAUCUCCAAGUGAAAAUAAUAGGUUUAGGAAAGCGUUUUUCUUCAACUUCUAUGGAGCACUUGCUUGCUUUGUCCUAUUUGCAUGUCCGACGGACGGUUCUCCAGCACCACUGCUAGUCGUCCUCCGCCUGCCUGGGUACUUGAUCACAGGAUGCCUCUGACUUCUCCUGCCUUUACCCAAGCAAAGGAUUUUCCUUGUCUUCCCACCCAAGAGUGACGGGGCUGACAUGUGCCCUUGCCUCUAAAUGAUGAAGCUGAACCUUUGUCUGGGCAACUUAACUUAAGAAUAAGGGAGUCCCAGGCAUGCUCUCCCAUCAAUAACAAAUUCAGUGACAUCAGUUUAUGAAUAUAUGAAAUUUGCCAAAGCUCUGUUUAGACCACUGAGUAACUCACAGCUAGGUUUCAACUUUUCCUUUCUAGGUUGUCUUGGGUUUAUUGUAAGAGAGCAUUAUGAAGAAAAAAAUAGAUCAUAAAGCUUCUUCAGGAAGCUGGUUUCAUAUGGUGGUUUAGAUUUAAAUAGUGAUUGUCUAGCACCAUUUGAAAUCAGUGUUCUUGGGGGAGACCAGCUGCGCUGCACUACCAACAGCAAAAGAAGUGAAUGGGACAGCUCUGAAGUAUUUGAAAGCAACAGCAGGAUGGCUGUGAGAACCUGCCUCACAUGUAGCUGACCCCUUCCUCACCCCUGCCAACAGUGGUGGCAUAUAUCACAAAUGGCAGUCAGGUCUCUGCACUGGCGGAUCCAACUGUGAUCGAAAGUUUUCCAAAAAUAAGUUGUGUCUGUAUUGAACAUGAACAGACUUUCUUCUUGUCAUUAUUCUCUAACAAUACUGCAUAACAAUUAUUUGCAUACAUUUGCAUUGCAUUAAGUAUUCUAAGUAAUCUAGAGACGAUUUAAAGUAUACGGGAGGAUGUGUGUAGGUUGUAUGCAAAUACUACACCAUUUUCUAUCAGAGACUUGAGCAUCUGUGGAUUUUGGUAUCCAAGGGGCUUUCUGGAACCAAUCCCUCAAGGAUACCAAGGGAUGAAUGUAAUUGUACAGGAUAUCGCAUUGUUGGAAUUUUAUACUUCUUUGUGGAAUAAACCUAUAGCACUUAAUAGAUAGUACAGACUCAUUCCAUUGUGCCUGGGUUAAAGAGCCCAAUGUAUGCUGGAUUUAGUAAGAUUUGGGCCCUCCCAACCCUCACGACCUUCUGUGACCCCUUAGAGGAUGACUGAUUUCUUUUGGUGUUCAGAGUCAAUAUAAUUUUCUAGCACCAUCUGAAAUCGGUUAUAAUGAUUGGGGAAGAGCACCAUGAUGCUGACUGCUGAGAGGAAAUGUAUUGGUGACCGUUGGGGCCAUGGACAAGAACUAAGAAAACAAAUGCAAAGCAAUAAUGCAAAGGUGAUUUUUCUUCUUCCAGUUUCUAAGUUGAAUUUCACUGACCUGAAUUGCAUGUGGUAUAAUACUAACAAAUGGUUCACUAUUAGCAUAUCAUGAAUGGUUAUACUUUAUAGAAAUUCCAUAGACUUGGUGGGGGUUUUGUUUUGGUGACGGAUACCUAGAAACACUCCUGGGGAAAAUCGAUGACUGGCUUAGAUGAUGGGAAAGGAGCAGCGAGGGAGUCAAUUCUGUUGUUGAUGAGAAGCUGCACCAGCUAUCUCUGAACUCUCCUCUCUUAGCUGGCUGAGGAGUUCCCUCCAUGGUUAAACAGGUCAUUUUCUUACAUAAGGAAAAAUGGUCCAGAGAAACUGGGUUUCUAUGGCUGAGACAGAACUGUGCUAAUAUGUGUCAGUUCAGUUUAGAAGGCAAAGCAACAAAAGCAGGUGCUACUUGAACUAGGAUCCUAGAGUAUACCUUUGAUAUGGUUUGGAUGUUUGUCCCCUCCAAUCUCAUGUUGAAGUGUGAUCCCCAGUAUUGGGGGUGGGGCCUGGUGGGGGUGGUUGAGUGAUGGGGCGGAUCCCUUGUGAAUGGCUUGGUGAUGUCCUCACUUAACGAGUUCCUGCUCAGUUAGAGGGAGCCGGUUGUUUAAAAAAGCUGGCACCUCCUUCCUCUCUCUUGCUCUUUCUUUCUUGCUCCCUCUCUCGCCAUGUGACAUGUCUGCUCCCUCUCCGCCUUCCACCAUGUAUAAAACAUCCUGAGGCCUCAUCAGGAGCCGAGCAGGUACCAGUGCCAUGCUUGUACGGCUGCAAAACUGUAAGCCAAAUAAACCUCUUUACUAUAUAAAUUACCCAGUCUCGGGUAUGUCUUUAUAGCAGCGCAAAACGGACUAACACAACCUCACUAGAAGUGAAGUCAUUAGACCAAAAACAAUACUGAGUUUUUAGGUCCACUAAGAGGCAAAAAUAAAAGGCUCUUUAUAGCAGCAUGAUUUAUAAUCCUUUGGGUAUAAGCACAUGUAUGCUAGAACUUAAAGUAUAAUAAUAAAAUAUAAAAAUAAUAAAAUAAAAUAAAAGGCUCAAGAAUGAGCCAUCUCGGCCGCUCCUCCUCCAGGGGCCCCUGUGUGCAGCUCCCAACACAGGUACUGCACAGACCGGCCACCUGCUGUCCCCAUGUGGCGUCCUGGAGAACUGCAGGGGCACCUGGUGGAAUUUGGGCCUUGUCCUUCUGUUUUCUUUCUGGCCUGGAAAAGCCACUGGCCUCACAAUCAAGAGUUAAUAUUCUAUCUACCCUGCUUAAGCUUUCCCGCCCUCUCACACUGCCUCCCUCCUUUUCCCUCCUGCCUGUCACUUGUCUGGAAAAGGCCUUUUCUCCUCGGGGCUAACACAUGCAAUUUGUAGCCAAAACAUUCUGUCUACCACACAAAUCCAACGAGAAUCAGGAUCAUUCCACCACAUCUUUUUCUAUCCCAUGGUUAUUAUUUUCCCAAAACUCUUGUCUUUUGCUUUCUUACCUAUUCGCUGUUUUCCCUAAGUAAUCUUAUUUACUCCCCUGGUUCCAAAUACAUCCCUAUGUGUUGAUUUCCCUCAAACCAGAGGUCUGGCCUGGGAUAUUUUUUGAGACAUCUUGCUUUUUAUAUUUUUAGUAGCUCCUAAGUAUAAUAGUUCAGCCUGCUCUUCUAAACUUGUCUCAAUUUAAUCCAUUUAUGCUUGAGGUUGCAAUUUUUUGAAUUUUUGCCAUCAGACCUUGGCAAUGACCUUGAGCAGUAGGAGACAACUCCCACAUGCUUAGCAUUCCAAUAAUGGAACACUAGGCAUAUACCAAAGCCAUCCACAUUGCCUUCUCCCCAAAGCCAGCUCUCCCUGCUCUGCCCCAUGGUGAAAGCUGCGAACACCAGAGGUCUGUGACCUCUUCCCUCUCCCUUACCCACAUCCAUACUCAGCACAACUUGUUGCUGUUCUCUCUCAAUUCUCUCUUUAGGAUCCAUCCCUUUCUCUGCUCUUCCUAGACAGCUUUCUGGGCCCACCCCUCGCCAUUAGUCUAGCUUUGUUAUAGCCACCAGUUAAUCUUUGUAAAAUACAUACGUGAGCUGGGCACGGUGGCUGGUGCCUGUAAUCCCAGCUACUCAGGAGGCUGGGGCAGGAGGUUGCUUGAGCCCAAGAGGUUGAGGCUGCAAUGAGCCAUGAUUGCAUCACUGCACUCCAGCCUGGACGACAGACCAAGAUCCCAUCUCUUUAAAAAAUAAAAAUAAAAAUUGUUUAACCACAUGACCUUGCUCCUUGUCCCUCACUUUUAGCUGAACUCUUAUAAGUGUGUCAACCAGGUACCAGACCCUUCAUGACCCCAUGCCUACCUGUGUCACCAUCUUCUGGCUGUGCUUCCUGGGGCCUGUGUUCUGUGCUCACCCAGCUGCUUGCUGCUGAGAACACUCAGGUAUCUUGGCAUUUCUUAGCCUGUGUCUGUGCUAUUUCCUCUGCCCACAUCUCCCCUCUCCUCCUCCUCGUCAGCUAGGGACCUCCAGCCCCUAGGGACUGUAAGCUAGGGACCUCCAACCUGCAGCCCCUGGCUCAGGUGUAAACUUGUCUAGGAAGCCUUCCUCUGCCUUCUGCAUCAAGGCUUAGAUCCCUGGGCAAAGGCUUUCUUCUCUGUACCCCUUCAGAGCCUGAUGGCACUUCGCAUGUUAUAUUCUCAUGAUUGAUUACCUACUAGGCUUCUCUGCAAGGCUGGAAAAUCCUUGCUCCUAGGAGGGACGGUAGACAAGAACAAGACAUACUGUGUACACUCCAUUCUUACAUUCCACGUGAGCUAUCCUUUGUGUAGGUGUCUGUGGCAAAUCUUCCUUCUAGGCUGCAGCCUCUACUUUUCAUAGUUUCUCUCCAUUUUCAUCUGCCAUGUGCAUGAGGAAUAAAAACUACUUCCAAUGAUGACCAAAAUAAGAUGGAAGAAAAUAACCCUGCUUCAAAGAACAUUUCUGAGACCAUAAAUAUGAUUUUGAUGUAUCUUCCAUUAUGGAUUACCCAUGUGGUUUUUUUUUUCCUUCUAAAUGCAUAAACAGGAAUUGUUUAAUAGGCUAGAGAGCCAUGAAAAGCAAAAUAAUUAAGGAUUGUUGUCCUCAUUUCAUAGAAGAGCAAACAAAGACAGAAAAACAGAUGUGCCUUAACCAAAAAGGGCAGUAAAUUUAUGCAAAGCAGACUGAACCCCCAUUAAAAGUAAUCAUUUACAGCGACCAAGGGCCAAGCACGUGAUCACCACCCUCCUCUCCCAAUAGCUCUGAAGGGUGGGUAGUAUUUCCCCAGCUUAUGCACGAGGAAACAGAUGCACAGGAAAGUCAAGUAACUUGCCUGCAAUGCCACGGCUAGUCAACAUGAGAGUUUGAAUUACAAAUCAGGUGGCGGUGGCGGUGGUGAUGAUGAUGAUAAUAGCAGCUUAUCAUCAUCAUUGAGCUCUUAUUUUGUGUUAGAUACUUGGUAAGUAUUUUGCAUGAAUUAGCUCAUUUAGUCUGACUUUCAAAACAGCCCUUUGAGGUCAGUGUUAUUAUCAUCAUUCCCAUUUUGCCAUGAAGAAACAAAAGAAUUAAAUAAUCCAAGAUCGUCUAACUGACAUUUCCAAGCAGGAGCACAAACCCAGAUCUCUGUGAUUCCAGAGCCUGUGCUCUUAAAUCAGCACUGCUCAUUUCAGUGUGGGAGAUGGCGUAAAUGGGUGUGUUCACUUGCUGGGCAGCCUCAUCUGUGGUCCCCUUGAUCCCCACCUACUGGCAUUCAUGCCCUGUGCUAUUCCCUCCCCUGGAGUGUGGACUGGACCUAGUAAUUUGCUUCUAAUGGAUGGAAUAUGUCAAAAGUGAUAGAUGUCACUUCUGAGACUAGGUUACAAAUAGACUGUGAUUCUGUUGUCUUCUUCCUCAGGCUUGCACCCUCACGACAUGCUCUCUCUCUCUCCCUCUCCUCUUUUCUCUCUUCUCUCCCUUCUCUCCUCUCUCUUAUCUCUCUCUUCUCUCUCUCGUACACAUACUCUGGAAAGCCAGCUACCAUACUGGGAACUGCCCAAUGGAGAGGCCCACAUUCCACAAGGAACUGAUGUCUUCAGCCAAUACCUCGCCAGGACCUGAGGCCUGCUGAGAGUCACGAGUGGCCUUCGUGGGUCCUCUCUCAACGAGCUUGCAGGUGACCACUGCGCCAGCCAAAACCUUGAUGGCAGCCUAUGAGUGAGUGACCCUGAGCCAGAAGACCCAGUUAAGCCAUGCCCAGGAUCCUGACCUGCAGAAACUAUGACAUAAUAAAUUUAUUGUUUUAUGCCACUAACUUUUGGGGUUACUUAUGCAGCAAUAGAUAGCUAAUACAGCUCAUAGUAUCCUUAUCUAGCCUCAAACAUUCUGCCUUUAGUAUCUAACUUUCCUAACUUUUUAGAUAAACUUUUUUGGGGGGGAUAAUUUUAGAUUUACAGAAAAAAGGCAAAGAUAGUAUAGAGAGUUCCUUUAUAUUUCUCUCCUAGUUUCCUCUAUUGUUCAUAUCUCAUAAAACGAUGGUUUUGGGUUUUUUGAGACGGCGUCUCACUCUGUCACCCAGGCUAGAGUGCAGUGGUGAUCAUAGCUCACUGCAGCCUUGAACUCCUGGCUCAAGGGAUCUUACUACCUCAGCUUCCCAAGUAGCUGGGUUCACAGCAUGUACCACCACACAUGGCUAAUUAAAACAUAUAUAUAUUAUAUAAUAUAUAUAUUUUAAGUUAUUAGUAAGUAUAUCAAAUACUGCUCCAGAUUUACAAAUGGUUAUUUUCCACUAUGAUGUCAAUACACAUUAAUUUG